AUUAGGCCGACUGGCUCCAAUUGUCCAUAUUUUCAUAGUGUGGGUCAUUUCUUUUUAAAACGGUCAGUUCAUGUCCUUUUCCCUAAAUAUUACAACUAAAGGACAAAGAAUAUAUAUUUAUUUUCUGAAUAUAAAAAAGUUAUAAAAGUAAUUAGAAAGUAGAUUAUAAGUAAUAUUUUUUUACGUAUAAAAAAUUAAAAUUACAUAUGUAUUAUGUCGGUUCGAUUUAA
rnacentral:lncRNA from 1 species